AUGCAGUCGAGCGGAGCACGGGAGCUUGCUCCUUGAUUCGACGACGGACGGAUGAGUGAUGCCUACGAUCUGCCUGGUAGAGGGGGACAACGUUUCGGAGGAACGCUAGUACCGAAUACGUCCUACCGGAGAAAGAAAGGGACCUUCGGGCCUUGCUCUAUCAUGAGACCCUAUGUCAGAUUAUCUAUUUGGUGGGGUAAUGGCUCACCAGGGCGACGAUCCAUAUCUGGUCUGAGAGGAUGAUCACUCACACUGGAACUGACACACGGUCCACACUCCUACGGGAGGCAGCAGUGGGGAAUAUUGGACAGUGGGCGAAAGCCUGAUCCCCCCGUGCCGCGUGUGUGAAAAACGUCCUCGGAGUGUAAAGCACUUUACGUUGAGAAGAACGGAUUUAAUCUAAUACGUUAGUGUUUUGACGUUACCGACAGAAUACGCACCGGCUAACUCUGUGCCAGCCCCCGCGGUAAUACAGAGGGUGCAAGCGUUAAUCG
rnacentral:rRNA from 1 species